ACUGUUACUCUAUGUGGGUGUCCGAGCAAUCACUUCUGGUGGCAUUAUUCCUUGAAAUACGUAGCUAGCACCACUGUACACUGCAGGAGCUUCAAUUAAAACACACUGUUAUUCUGAAAAACAUGUCCCCGCCCCUGUGUUCAAUCUAGUAGGAAAACUAGAAAAAGUUCCACAAGCAUUGCUAGCAGGCUCCUCCUCACAAACAAACCUCCCAUAUACCCUAGAUCCAGCCCACUCAACCCCACACACCCAAGGAGAUAGGUCACAUUGUUGGACCCUACACAAACUCCGCAAUUCUUCUGGCUACAAAAUCUGGAAACCCGAGACCCCCGGCCAACAACCUAUCACUUUCAUCUUCCAGCUUCGCUAAGCCGCCUCCUUUCCCCGGCAAUGCUGUGAUGCAAAAUGUGUUUGUGCAUCAGACUCCUGGACUGGUUCAGAGCGACACAGGAGCCCACAUCCACGUACCCGCACCUCCACACCUUUCAUUAAUAGUACAAUAUAUGCACCAGGCACAAAGAAGAAAUGGGAGGUUUGAGUCCUCUGUUUCAGGAGAACCAGCAGAAAUGCCUUCUUUCACCUCAACUCAAACCUCAGAGAUGCUCCAGCCCUCAUAAUCCCUGUGCAAAGUGGGUCUGACAGGCGGAGGAAAGCCAGUCCUGUGGAACUCAUCUGAAAUGCCUUUCCAGCAACCCCAAGAGAACCGAGCUUCUCUCUCGGGCAAAAAGCCUCAAGGGGUUUUUGCUGAACCGAGGUCUUCCUGCACAUCUCAGCAGUUCAGAGCUACAUAAACAACUUCUGACCCUUUGCACAAUCGUGUAAACCUACCCUAAUAUCUCCAUUAUGUGGAAAAGAUGUUAACUGAAAAACUGUUUUUAAACUAUUAUAGUAAGCAAACACACUCAACUCCUGCAAAUAUACACGGCAGCUUCAUUAGAUCACGGUGUUGGUUUGGUUUGAUGAUCUAUCUUCGGUUUUUUAAACGUAAUUAAUUUUUGAGAAAUGAGCAAAUCCGGAGUGGUGAUAGCUAUGAUUGUGGUCAAAAUUUUUACCAUUUGAAAUUCAAUGUUUUUCAUGAUCACUAAGAUUAAAACUAAAGAAAAAAAGUUCUCUCCUUACCCAAAUUUUCCAAUUACUUAAACUUAGGAAGGUAUUACUUAGGGAGAUUUUUAAGCUUCUCCUUCUCCAGUGUUUUUCUCUAAUAGAGGCACUUUUACUUUUGCAAAACCAGAAGUUUGGUAACCUGAGAGUUUUCCAUGGCAAAUAACUUCAUAUGAAUGCUUUCCGCUCACUUUAAAGGCUUUUGCACCCUAGCCUUCCUACAACUUUUACUACUUGUACUGGUGUGUGUUUUGGAUUAUUUUUCUACAACUAGUCAAUUAAGUGUAAGUAUAUAUAAUUAUAUUUUUUCAGUAAAAGUAUAUAUGAAAAAUGCCUAACUAGAAUGUU
rnacentral:lncRNA from 1 species